GGGUACAGCUCAGUGGCAGAGCGCGUGCUUAGCACGCACGAGGACCUGGGUUCCAUCCCCAGUGACCCA
rnacentral:tRNA from 1 species